rnacentral:rRNA from 1 species
AGAGUUUGAUCAUGGCUCAGAACGAACGCUGGCGGCGUGCUUAACACAUGCAAGUCGAGUGCGCGUUUCGUAGCAAUACGAGAUGGCGCACGGCGCACGGGUGCGUAACACGUGGGUAACCUGCCCUUUGGUGGGGAAUAACUCCGCGAAAGCGGAGCUAAUUCCGCAUAAGAUCCGCAAGGAUGAAAGCCGCAAGGCGCCGAUGGAGGGGCCCGCGCACGAUUAGCUAGUUGGUAGGGUAACGGCCUACCAAGGCUUUGAUCGUUAGCUGGUCUGAGAGGAUGGCCAGCCACACUGGAACUGAGACACGGUCCAGACUCCUACGGGAGGCAGCAGUGGGGAAUCUUGCACAAUGGGCGAAAGCCUGAUGCAGCGACGCCGCGUGGGGGAUGAAGCAUUUCGGUGUGUAAACCCCUUUCGAUCCGGACGAAUGCCCGCAAGGGAUUGACGGUACGGAUAUAAGAAGCCCCGGCUAACUACGUGCCAGCAGCCGCGGUAAGACGUAGGGGGCCAGCGUUGUUCGGAAUUACUGGGUGUAAAGGGUUCGUAGGCGGUGCGGCAAGUUGGGAGUGAAAUCUCUGGGCUCAACCCAGAGGCUGCUUCCAAAACUGCUGUGCUUGAGUGUGGGAGAGGCGCGUGGAAUUGCAGGUGUAGCGGUGAAAUGCGUAGAUAUCUGCAGGAACACCCGUGGCGAAAGCGGCGCGCUGGACCACUACUGACGCUGAGGAACGAAAGCUAGGGGAGCAAACAGGAUUAGAUACCCCCGUAGUCC